UACGAAGGGGGCUAGCGUUGUUCGGAAUCACUGGGCGUAAAGGGCGCGUAGGCGGCUUUAUAAGUCGGGGGUGAAAGCCUGUGGCUCAACCACAGAAUUGCCUUCGAUACUGUAGAGCUUGAGACCGGAAGAGGUAAGUGGAACUGCGAGUGUAGAGGUGAAAUUCGUAGAUAUUCGCAAGAACACCAGUGGCGAAGGCGGCUUACUGGUCCGGUUCUGACGCUGAGGCGCGAAAGCGUGGGGGAGCAAAC
rnacentral:rRNA from 1 species